rnacentral:rRNA from 1 species
AAUGCCCGAAAGGGUGACGAAGCGACGCCGCGUGGGUGAGGAAGGCCUUCGGGUUGUAAAGCCCUGUCAGGAGUUAAGAAAUGUAGAUGCGCUAAUAUCGCAUUUGCUUGACGAAGGCUCCAAAGGAAGUCACGGCUAACUCUGUGCCAGCAGCCGCGGUAACACAGAGGUGGCAAGCGUUGUUCGGAAUUAUUGGGCGUAAAGAGCGCGUAGGUGGGUUUGUAAGUCAGAUGUGAAAGCCUUCUGUUCAACGGAAGAAUUGCAUCUGAAACUGCGAAUCUUGAGUAUAGGAGGGGAGAAUGGA